AAAGGUGAAAUGGGAGCCAGAUCGAUGCUAUCGGGAGUAAGCGCCGAGGUCGAUAUUUAUGGGGUAAAAUACGUGGAAAUCUGAUGAGGCCACGUCCCAUCGGUAAUAAGGAGGGCAGUAAAUAAAGGGCGCCGCGAAGGGUCGGUCAAAGAAGGUAGUAAAUGUUCGUACAAAACGGUCAGUGUUUUACAGAUUACCCAAAAGGGUAUCAAUAGCCGUGAUGGCCCGACGUCGGAUCUGAUCGGCAGAGUCAAGAACCCGUUGGUCUUCUUCUGCCGAUCCAGGAACCUCCGAU
rnacentral:lncRNA from 1 species